CAGGGCAGUGGUGUAACCAGCAGCAUCUCCGCCUGUGACGCGGACGGUUCGGGUGCGAAUCCCGACUCCCUGACCA
rnacentral:tRNA from 1 species